CCGCCCCGCCGGCGGCGGCUAUAUCAGGUGACCUCCCGGAAGCUGCGGAAGCGGAUGAGGGAAUCGCUGCUGCUGCCUUUGCUGCUGGGCCGGGCGCUCGGGGGCGGUGCGCAGCAGCCGGAACUGCUCGGCCUCCUGGCGCACCUCAGCGCGGCCCUCAUGCGGCGCGCUCGCUGACACCUGAAGUCCGCCCCCUCUCAGUCCUUCUGGGGAUCGCGGGGUCGGGCAGCCCACCGCGCCUGCCGCUCUCGGUGGUUGAAGCCGCCGUCGUGCGAGCCCGCGGCGGCCACCCAUGGAGAAGGCUGGGCGCGGCGGUGACGGCGCCCCCCGGGGGUCGGUACUGCACAUCGUGGUGGUCGGCUUCCACCACAAGAAGGGCUGCCAGCUUUUGUAAAAUAUCAAAAAUAGUGUUGAGGGAAGCGGACUUGGCUCAAUGGAUAGAGCAUCUACCUACCACAUGGGAGGUUCAAACCCAGGAUCUCCUUGACGGGUGUGGAGCUGGCCCACGCACAGUGCUGAUGCGCGCAAGGAGUGCCAUGCCACUCAGGGGUGUCCCCUGCAUAGGGGAGCCCCACACACAAGGAGUGCGCCCCAUAAGGAGAGCCGCCCAGCGCGAAAGAAAGUCCAGCCUGCCCAGGAGUGGCACCGCACACAUGGAGAGCUGACGCAGCAAGAUGACGCAAGAAAAAGAGACACAGAUUCCUGUGCCGCAGACAAGAAUAGAAGCGGACACAGAAGAACACACAGCGAAUGGACACAGAGAGCAGAAAACUAGGGGGGAGGGGGAAGGGGAGGAAAAAAAAUAGUGUUGAUUUUUUGGCAGUGGGAGAGCAGUAUUAGAAUAGCAAGUAUACUAAACUUUCCUAUAUGUUAUAUUAGUCCUUAAAGAUAUUCUUCUGCCAAUUAGUGUCUUUUUAGAUGUCCUACAACUCUGCUUUCUUAAUACUGCCUCCCCCCCAUCUAAAUACAUUUCAUGCUUUGUAAAAUGUUGUGUGUUACAUACAUAGAUCUUGUACAGAAUUAUUUACUGUUCAAGAGAAUGUUAUUGAUUUUUAACCAGUAUUUCAUGUGUUUCAGAGGUUCUAGUUGUGUAAGAUUUUUCCCAGGAUAGAUUAAUCAGCCACCUCAUUCUCUGUUUUGAGAUUUUAAUGGCCAGGUGCAAAGGAUUAAAAGUGUACGUUGCAUUGAAUUGUGACUCUGACUUCAAAUGGUUUUAGCUUGUGUGACAGUGCUUUGUUAGACUGCUCUUCCAAAUAGAUUGCUGUAAGCAGGUCAUGUUGCUAACAGUUCUUUUUUUUGAAAAAAUAAAUGGAAAAAUAUAAUUUUUAAAAAUAAAUGGAAAACAUAAUUAACAGUGCUUUCCAUAUGCAGAGAUUAUUCAUUGCUUUGCCAUCAUAAAGAAAAUCCCCAGUUUGCUGUAAAUUGUAACUCUGAUUCAGUGAACCGAACUAUUAAAAAAAGGUAAUGCCUUUCAGCAGUCUGCUUGAGUAAGCAUGAUAAAUUUACAAAGGGGGAUAUACUAAAUCUUUGUAGAAUGUCUUGUUAUAAGCUGCUCUCUAGUGUUAUGAUAAAGGAGUCAAGUCCUUUCUCAUGGGCCACAAAGGGGAAUGAAAGCAUUCUACUACAGUGAUGUUUAACACUCAAAAACUAGGUACAUAAAAGUUGUUCAUUCAUCUGGUUUCCUACAUUUUUCCACCUUUGAAGUCUUCAGAUGUAUUUUAAAUGAAGAGUACCUUCA
rnacentral:lncRNA from 1 species